GGCACGCUGGCGCAAUGGUAGCGCAUUGCUCUCCUAUUAUUAGGUAUUCUCUACCGAACGAAGGCAAGCAAAGGUUGCGGGUUCGACCCCCGUGUGUGUCG